rnacentral:rRNA from 1 species
AUUGAACGCUGGCGGCAGGCCUAACACAUGCAAGUCGAACGAGUGGCGGACGGGUGAGUAAUGUCUGGGAAACUGCCUGAUGGAGGGGGAUAACUACUGGAAACGGUAGCUAAUACCGCAUACCAUCGGAUGUGCCCAGAGGGGAUUAGCUAGUAGGUGGGGUAACGGCUUACCUAGGCGACGAGCCCUAGCUGGUCUGAGAGGAUGACCAGCCACACUGGAACUGAUACACGGUCCAUACUCCUACGGGAGGCAGCAGUGGGUAAGAUGGCAAAAUGGGCGCAAGCCUUAUGCAGCCAUGCCGCGUGUAUGAAGAAGGCCUUCGGGUUGUAAAGUACUUUCAGCGGGGAGGCGUUACCCGCAGAAGAAGCACCGGCUAACUCCGUGCCAGCAGCCGCGGUAAUAC